UGCCGCCCUGCGCCAUGCCGUUGUGGUGAUACGAAUUGAUGGAGCGGUCUUUUCCCGCUGCUUAUUUGCUCUAAAGGAUGGUCGUGCAUGGGCCAACUAUCAACUAGCCGGACCCAGCAAGAAAUGUACCGCGCAAGGCGUCAUAUUGCUGCGCCAAGCGGCCAACGACUUAAAGUAGAACGUGAACUACGGUGGCAUUACGCUGAUGGUAUAGCGGUUUGAUUUGUGUAAAAGUAAAUGGUCGAGCUAGCUGUGGCCACACGUCCUCAUUAGCGAUUCUUAGAUUAAAAUCGGUUCAUGAAGCUCUUAUACACCUCGAAAUUGAUUAACGCAUGAUACAAAAGUAAGCAAAUUCUUGGCUUACAGAGCAUUAAUAUGUGUCAUUGGAUGUCCUUGGUUGGGAUCUUCGUAGACUAGAAACCCGCUAUUGUUGACGACGUAGGGCGGUAGUGAUUCCGAGCCAAUCCAACGGAAUAUAUGCUUAUGGUUGUUGCAGAGCGGGUUUUAGCGCAGCGAUGUUGUUGAUAUAUCAGCCGAUUUAUUCAACAGAAGGAGGAACAACGAUAUGACGCCAACGCACAAUAGCUUUUCAAUAAAAUGUACACACACGCAAGUUUUAUAAUGCCGGGAUUUGGGGAUUGAAGCAGACCGAAACGUACCGCAGAGCCGCUGUAAAGCAAUGCGCGUGACGUCACGGAUCGUUGCUCAUUUCGCCUUUUUCUCUGAGUGACAGCCAUACCCGUCCGGCAAAAUGAGUGUAUUUUUGAGUGAUUUGAGUACCGUCCCCCCUUAGCAGUUACUCUUAGAGGAAUGAGUUACACCCUCGCAGUUACAGUUCUGACCGCUGCCUAACUUGGAUUGCUCGAAAAAGAUUCGCCACAACCCGCUGCGCAAAUUCGAGUAGUUUUCUGCGUAGUUUUUU